rnacentral:rRNA from 1 species
GAUGAACGCUGGCGGCGUGCCUAAUACAUGCAAGUCGAGCGAACAGACGAGGAGCUUGCUCCUCUGACGUUAGCGGCGGACGGGUGAGUAACACGUGGAUAACCUACCUAUAAGACUGGGAUAACUUCGGGAAACCGGAGCUAAUACCGGAUAAUAUAUUGAACCGCAUGGUUCAAUAGUGAAAGACGGUUUUGCUGUCACUUAUAGAUGGAUCCGCGCCGCAUUAGCUAGUUGGUAAGGUAACGGCUUACCAAGGCAACGAUGCGUAGCCGACCUGAGAGGGGGAUCGGCCACACUGGAACUGAGACACGGUCCAGACUCCUACGGGAGGCAGCAGUAGGGAAUCUUCCGCAAUGGGCGAAAGCCUGACGGAGCAACGACGCGUGAGUGAUGAAGGUCUUCGGAUCGUAAAACUCUGUUAUUAGGGAAGAACAAAUGUGUAAGUAACUAUGCACGUCUGGACGGUACCUAAUCAGAAAGCCACGGCUAACUACGU